rnacentral:rRNA from 1 species
UCAGGAUGAACGCUAGCGGCAGGCUUAACACAUGCAAGUCGAGGGGCAGCGGGGAGGAAGCUUGCUUUCUCCGCCGGCGACCGGCGCACGGGUGAGUAACACGUAUGCAACCUGCCCCUGUCAGGGGGACAACCCGCCGAAAGGCGGGCUAAACCCGCGUACAUGCCACCGGGGCAUCCCGGAGGCAGGAAAGGCUUCGGCCGGACAGGGAUGGGCAUGCGGCGCAUUAGGCAGUAGGCGGGGUAACGGCCCACCUAACCGACGAUGCGUAGGGGUUCUGAGAGGAAGGUCCCCCACACUGGUACUGAGACACGGACCAGACUCCUACGGGAGGCAGCAGUGAGGAAUAUUGGUCAAUGGUCGGGAGACUGAACCAGCCAAGCCGCGUGAGGGAUGAAGGUACAGAGUAUCGUAAACCUCUUUUGUCAGGGAACAAAGGCGGGGACGUGUCCCCGGAUGAGUGUACCUGAAGAAAAAGCAUCGGCUAACUCCGUGCCAGCAGCCGCGGUAAUACGGAGGAUGCGAGCGUUAUCCGGAUUUAUUGGGUUUAAAGGGUGCGCAGGCGGUCUGUUAAGUCAGCGGUCAAAGCCCGGGGCUCAACCCCGGCCCGCCGUUGAAACUGGCAGUCUCGAGUUGGAGAGAAGUAUGCGGAAUGCGCGGUGUAGCGGUGAAAUGCAUAGAUAUCGCGCAGAACUCCGAUUGCGAAGGCAGCAUGCCGGCUCCACACUGACGCAGGCACGAAAGCGUGGGUAUCGAACAGGAUCAGAUACCCUGGUAGUCCACGCAGUAAACGAUGAAUGCUGGCUGUCCGGGGGGGAUUGACCCCUGGGUGGCGAAGCGAAAGCGAUAAGCAUUCCACCUGGGGAGUACGCCGGCAACGGUGAAACUCAAAGGAAUUGACGGGGGCCCGCACAAGCGGAGGAACAUGUGGUUUAAUUCGAUGAUACGCGAGGAACCUUACCCGGGCUCAAACGGGGAGUGACUCAGGCAGAGACGCCUGUUUCCCACGGGACACUCCCCGAGGUGCUGCAUGGUUGUCGUCAGCUCGUGCCGUGAGGUGUCGGCUUAAGUGCCAUAACGAGCGCAACCCCCGCGUGCAGUUGCUAACAGAUAACGCUGAGGACUCUGCACGGACUGCCGGCGCAAGCCGCGAGGAAGGCGGGGAUGACGUCAAAUCAGCACGGCCCUUACGUCCGGGGCGACACACGUGUUACAAUGGGUGGUACAGCGGGAAGCCAGGCGGCGACGCCGAGCGGAACCCGAAAUCCACUCUCAGUUCGGAUCGGAGUCUGCAACCCGACUCCGUGAAGCUGGAUUCGCUAGUAAUCGCGCAUCAGCCAUGGCGCGGUGAAUACGUUUCCGGGCCUUGUACACACCGCCCGUCAAGCCAUGGGAGCCGAGGGCGCUUGAAGUGCGUCGCCGCGAGGCGCGCCCUAGAGCGAAAUCGGUGACUGGGGCUAAGUCGUAACAAGGUAACCG